rnacentral:rRNA from 1 species
CAAUAGCGUAUAUUAAUGUUGUUGCAGUUAAAAAGCUCGUAGUUGGAUUUCUGGUGGGAGCGGCCGGUCCGCCGUAAGGUGUGUACUUGGUUGUCUCCUGUCAUCCUUGUGGGAACUGCUCUGGCAUUAAGUUGUCGGGGUUAGGGAACACAUCGUUUACUGUGAAAAAAUUAGAGUGUUUAAAGCAGGCUUAUGCCGUUGAAUACAUUAGCAUGGAAUAAUAAGAUAGGACUUUGGCGUCUAUUUUGUUGGUUUGCACACCAAGGUAAUGAUUAAUAGGGAUAGUUGGGGGUAUUCGUAUUUAAUUGUCAGAGGUGAAAUUCUUGGAUUUAUGAAAGACGAACUUCUGCGAAAGCAUUUACCAAAGAUGUUCUCAUUAA